CCUACGGGGCGCUGCAGUGGGGAAUAUUGGACAAUGGGGGCAACCCUGAUCCAGCCAUGCCGCGUGUGUGAAGAAGGCCCUCGGGUUGUAAAGCACUUUCAGUGAGGAAGAACGCCUGGUGGUUAAUACCCAUCAGGAAAGACAUCACUCACAGAAGAAGCACCGGCUAACUCCGUGCCAGCAGCCGCGGUAAUACGGAGGGUGCGAGCGUUAAUCGGAAUUACUGGGCGUAAAGCGCGCGUAGGUGGCUUGAUAAGCCGGUUGUGAAAGCCCCGGGCUCAACCUGGGAACGGCAUCCGGAACUGUCAAGCUAGAGUGCAGGAGAGGAAGGUAGAAUUCCCGGUGUAGCGGCGAAAUGCGUAGAGAUCGGGAGGAAUACCAGUGGCGAAGGCGGCCUUCUGGACUGACACUGACACUGAGGUGCGAAAGCGUGGGUAGCAAACAGGAUUAGAUACCCGUGUAGUC
rnacentral:rRNA from 1 species